AGAGUUUGAUCCUGGCUCAGGACGAACGCUGGCGGCGCGCCUAACACAUGCAAGUCGAACGAGAGAGAAGGAGCUUGCUUCUUCGAUCGAGUGGCGAACGGGUGAGUAACGCGUGAGGAACCUGCCUCAAAGAGGGGGACAACAGUUGGAAACGACUGCUAAUACCGCAUAAGCCCACGGCUCGGCAUCGAGCAGAGGGAAAAGGAGCAAUCCGCUUUGAGAUGGCCUCGCGUCCGAUUAGCUAGUUGGUGAGGUAACGGCCCACCAAGGCGACGAUCGGUAGCCGGACUGAGAGGUUGAACGGCCACAUUGGGACUGAGACACGGCCCAGACUCCUACGGGAGGCAGCAGUGGGGAAUAUUGCACAAUGGGGGAAACCCUGAUGCAGCGACGCCGCGUGGAGGAAGAAGGUCUUCGGAUUGUAAACUCCUGUUGUUGAGGAAGAUAAUGACGGUACUCAACAAGGAAGUGACGGCUAACUACGUGCCAGCAGCCGCGGUAAAACGUAGGUCACAAGCGUUGUCCGGAAUUACUGGGUGUAAAGGGAGCGCAGGCGGGAAGACAAGUUGGAAGUGAAAUCCAUGGGCUCAACCCAUGAACUGCUUUCAAAACUGUUUUUCUUGAGUAGUGCAGAGGUAGGCGGAAUUCCCGGUGUAGCGGUGGAAUGCGUAGAUAUCGGGAGGAACACCAGUGGCGAAGGCGGCCUACUGGGCACCAACUGACGCUGAGGCUCGAAAGUGUGGGUAGCAAACAGGAUUAGAUACCCUGGUAGUCCACACCGUAAACGAUGAUUACUAGGUGUUGGAGGAUUGACCCCUUCAGUGCCGCAGUUAACACAAUAAGUAAUCCACCUGGGGAGUACGACCGCAAGGUUGAAACUCAAAGGAAU
rnacentral:rRNA from 1 species